CCUACGGGCGGCUGCAGUAGGGAAUCUUCCACAAUGGACGAAAGUCUGAUGGAGCAACGCCGCGUGUGUGAUGAAGGCUUUCGGCUCGUAAAACACUGUUGUAAGAGAAGAAUGACAGUGAGAGUAACUGUUCAGGGUGUGACGGUAUCUUACCAGAAAGGAACGGCUAAAUACGUGCCAGCAGCCGCGGUAAUACGUAUGUUCCAAGCGUUAUCCGGAUUUAUUGGGCGUAAAGCGAGCGCAGGCGGUUUUUUGAGUCCGAAGUGAAAGCCGUCAGCUUCACUGUGGAAGUGCUUUGGAAAAUGGGUAACUUGAGUGCAGUAGAGGGUAGUGGAAAUCCAGGUGUAGCGGUGAAAUGCGUAGAUAUAUGGAAGAACACCAGUGGCGAAGGCGGCUCUCUGGACUGCAACUGACGUUGAGGCUCGAAAGCGUGGGUAGCAAACAGGAUUAGAUACCCUUGUAGUC
rnacentral:rRNA from 1 species